AAUAUUCUCAAUAGCGAAGAAUAUGAUACCUCAGUAACUUCACUGGUUACAGGGACACUGUUUUGCUCCUCACAUAGCUGUUAGACAUAAAGGGCACAUGCACGCCUGUAGAAGUGCACACUGAUGCACUGCCUUUAUAGUUGCAAUGCCUUCAUUUAAAGGAAAUGGAGACUCGAAUCGGUUUCUAUUAAACUGGUACAGUCUUGAUAAGAACAAAAUAGCUCUUUUUUACAAAUAGUAUUCAUGGACUAGAGUUUUAAGACAGAUGAGAGCAUGAGUAAACAAGCUCAGUCUUAAGAUUUAAAGCAUUUAAUCCUGUAAACUUGAACAUUUAUUUUGUAUUUUAAAUUUUAUAUAACAGACUUUCUAGAGUGUAAGUGAUAUCCCAAAAGAUAUUUGGGCAUUGCUAAUGGUUUUAGUAAAACUAAAGGAAUCAAAUAUGAUUUAUACAAAGACAAAAACACCAUGGGAAAGAAAGGCAAAAACCUUUACAAAUGUACCAGAAGUACAAGUUUGGAAUUGUCUUAAGUCAACAGCAAUUAAAUGUGACAAUAAUCUUAUAGUAACAUUUAAAUAAGUAGUAAGGUUAUUUUAUUUUUGUGGCAGUUUAAAGAUGAUGCAUUAUGUUCAGAUUUUCUUUUGGGAAAGAAGGGCUUUUGCCUGUUUCUCUAAACUACAAAUUUAAAUCCUCUCUAUUAAUGAGCCCUACAAAUGCUUGCUGGUCUGUUUGACUUAUUAUAUUUAAACCAUCAUAAACCCAGCUAAUGAUGCAACGCACAACUUUUGGGAGAACUUUUAUAUUAGCACAGUCGCUUGUUAAUGAUGGUUCCUGGCUAGCAGGGAAGAGUAGGAUGUAUGUGACUUAUUUAUUAACCCUAAAUGUCCAAAUGUUUUAUUUUGUGCUGAUAUACUGGCUAUUGACUGCUUACAGAAUAUGAUCGUGUUAUAAAAAUCAACAAAUUGUUAAAGAAGACACCUAUUUUUUCAUAAAAAUGUUUGAAUAUUAGAGUACAUCUAAGUGAUGGUGGCUUGAAAUUUCACUCCAGGCAAGUUAAACCCAAUUACAAUUAUAGAAAGGAACUAAGUUUUAUGCAAAAAUAGCCUGUGAUCUAAUAGAAAGUUCUAAGUUACAGCUCAUCCUGCAUGUUUCACCACCAGCACCCUCCAUCUGUGCGUUACUUCUGUUGCUAUGAAUCUGGCAGCAUUUUAGCAGCUAGCCUCUGUUUAUAAGAAGGGAUCCCAGCAGCUCGAAGUCAGUCAUUGGGAUUACUCAUCACUUGCCUUGUGAGCUGCUCCAGGGAAUUUCUUGAAGAACUGUGUCAAAAUUAGCUUUAGAAGACCAGCAAUUUGAGAGCUUUGAUGGACACAUAUCAGGCACUCCCAGACCAGUGUUGGUCAAAUUGGUGCGCUUGGAAGAAAGAUUCUUUUUGUUGCUAGAGUGAAGAUUUUCCUCUUUUGUGAAAGGAGAGAAGAGGAUAAACAAGGACUACAUCUUCCUCUCUGCAAGAAGAAAUCUGAUUCAUUGGGAACAUAAUCACUACGAUACCAUGAAUGCUUGCAGGAGGAUACAUUCGCUCCGUGCUCACAGACAGAGAAACAAUGCCAACACACAUGAGAACUGGCACAGUACCUCUGGGUUCAAGCAACAGCGUGGAGAUGAACUUGCUACAGUCCUUACGCUUUACACAGUGAUCGUCAUGGUCCUUCUAAUGGCAAUCUGGGGAGCCUGGACAAGGAAGGAUUCAUACGUAUAGUAGCAGUAUGCUUUCUUUGUUAAAUAUUUAAGGAAAUACUUGUAUUGAUUAUCUGUACCCAGGAGGUACAAAAAAAAAUGGUCCCUGCCUAUUACGGUGUACUUGAAACUGCUUAGACUACUGCUACUUGUGGAACUGAAGCUGUGAAGCGAUUUAAUAGGCAAUAUACAGAACAUGACUUUGUGAAUAAGAUAACAACUGUUUGUAUAUAACAUAUAAACAUGUUUGUAUUACCCUUUGCAUGUAUAUGAAACAUUUUAAGCAUAAUACAUUCUUGGGAAGAA